GGCGACCUACGGGGCGCAGCAGUGGGGAAUAUUGCACAAUGGGGGAAACCCUGAUGCAGCGACGCCGCGUGAAGGAAGAAGUAUUUCGGUAUGUAAACUUCUAUCAGCAGGGAAGAAAAUGACGGUACCUGACUAAGAAGCCCCGGCUAACUACGUGCCAGCAGCCGCGGUAAUACGUAGGGGGCAAGCGUUAUCCGGAUUUACUGGGUGUAAAGGGAGCGUAGACGGUUAAUCAAGUCAGAAGUGAAAACCCAGGGCUCAACCUUGGGACUGCUUUUGAAACUGAGUAGCUAGAGUGCAGGAGA
rnacentral:rRNA from 1 species